rnacentral:rRNA from 1 species
UACAGAGGUCUCAAGCGUUGUUCGGAUUCAUUGGGCGUAAAGGGUGUGUAGGUGGCGCGCUAAGUCGGGUGUGAAAUUUCGGAGCUUAACUCCGAAACUGCAUUCGAUACUGGCGUGCUUGAGGACUGGAGAGGAGACUGGAAUUCAUGGUGUAGCAGUGAAAUGCGUAGAGAUCAUGAGGAAGACCAGUGGCGAAGGCGGGUCUCUGGACAGUGCCUGACACUGAGACACGAAGGCCAGGGGAGCAAACGGG